CUGAGCGUGAGCAGCAUCAUUUGUUUCAAAUGCACAGACAUCUCUACCCUGUACUUGUAGGAGAGAUGCUAAAACAGUAGCAGGGUACCAAAAGGACCAAGUUGUGCUGCGGUGUUCAUGUCUGUGUCUCCUGCUCUGCUGACUGUACAGGCUAGUGGGAUAUUUAUGCCUGGUUAUCAGAACUUUUGUGUGUUCCCAUAUGGUCGUAAGUAAUCCAACUGAUGGAAAAAUGUUCUCCUUUGGAACAGUAUACUGAAAUUCCACUGGAGAGAAAUAAUCAGAUCAACCUUGAUAUCCAUAGAAUACUUUCUACAUAUGAUCUUUAACUUUAAAACCAAGAUUACGGGCUUAGCAAUGGAUAUGCAGCUGCUGCUGAUCCCCCUCAUCAUGUCCGUGCUCUACGUCUGGGCCCAGCUCAACAGAGACGUGAUUGUGUCGUUUUGGUUUGGAACACGAUUUAAGGCCUGCUAUUUACCUUGGGUUAUCCUUGGAUUCAACUAUAUCAUUGGAGGCUCGUAAGUUCUGUUAAAUUUAUUUGACUGGAAACUUAAUUCAUCUUUGUCUUUCUUUCCUAGUCUUUUAAAGACUUUAAGGAAUCUCAGUGUUGAUAUGUGAGAACCCGUGAAUAUGUCUGGGUAUGACUGCUUGCCCAGAGGACUUUAAGCACCCUGGACACUGGACGGCUAUCACUUGUUAGCUUGUCGCUACAUACAUUGUGUUUCUAGUCACGUGUCUUUGAAUAUAUGUGCCUUUCUGUAUUCAGUAUCCAUACUGAGCAAAUACAGAACUCAUUUGCCUUGAUUCCUCUUAGGAACUUGUCCACAAGAUGACUCUAUUGUGUAUUUUUAAGGCACUUCCAGAGUGCCUUGGAAAUGGUGUACUGCCUCAGAAGUGGAGAGUCUCAGAUAAGAAGAGUCUUGAACAUGGUUUGAUGGUCUAGAACUUUUGCCAGGCAGGACCAAGUUUCUACUCUCUUGCUGAGAUGUAGGAAAACCUUUCAUGUUUCCAGUCUGAGUUCAGAGAGAGGCCAUUUAGAUGGAGCCAUCCUGGGCUGGAGGGUCACACAGUGACCCUCAGUGGUCAGGAGUGGGCACUGCUCUCAAAGAGGACCCAAGUUUACUUCCAGCUCCUGAGUCGGGCAGCACACAACUGCUGUAACUUUAGCUCCAUGGGUGUCUGAUCUCUCUGGCUUGCUUGGGGGCUUGUAUCCAUGUGUACACACACAUAGGCAUGCACAUACAAUUACAAGUAAGUUUUAAAGUCUCUUCUGCCUGGUGUGGAGGGAGAGGCAGGCUCUGGGAGUUCAAGGCCAGCCUGGUCCACAUAGUGAUUUCCAGGAAAACCAUAGCUAUGUGGAGAAAAAAAAUAUGUGUCUCAAGAAAACCGAAAAAUAGCGAGAAUGUUCUUAAAAACAAAAUAACAACAACAACAAAAAACCCCACAAGCUAGAGAUAUUUUAAGAACUCCCAUUUCUUACAUUACCAAAUAUUUUCAAGUUAGAUUUUAAGAGUACUCAUCCUUUCAUGUAGCUGAUACAUUUCCCUGUGUGGUGCGUCCUCCUCCUGUGUGUGUUUCCAGGGGGCAGCGAGUGCACUAAAUACAAGGCUGAGUAGAUCACAGCACAUUUUGAGAUUGCCAAGUCCUCCUCCACCCCCAAGGGCAGAAGUUGCAGGUGUUGGUUUGCUCCGGCCAAACGGCAUGUGGGUGAAGAUGAAGAAUGACUUGUAAUAGCAGUGUGGAUGGUGAGGUGACUGUGUGAGCCUGGGGACCUGAAGAAGGCGGUACUUACUGUGGGAUGCAGGGCAAAGAAGGCGGUACUUACUGUAGGAUGUAGGCGGUACUUACUGUAGGA